CCUACGGGAGGCAGCAGUAAGGAAUAUUGGUCAAUGGGCGGAAGCCUGAACCAGCCAUGCCGCGUGCAGGAAGACGGGCUCUGCAUUGUAAACUGCUUUUAUACCAGAAUAUGUAUGGUAAGAAUAAGGAUCGGCUAACUCCGUGCCAGCAGCCGCGGUAAUACGGAGGAUCCAAGCGUUAUCCGGAUUUAUUGGGUUUAAAGGGUGCGUAGGCGGCUUUUUAAGUCAGGGGUGAAAGACGGUGGCUCAACCAUCGCAGUGCCUUUGAUACUGAAGAGCUUGAUUAAACUUGAGGUAGGCGGAAUGUGACAAGUAGCGGUGAAAUGCAUAGAUAUGUCACAGAACACCGAUUGCGAAGGCAGCUUACUAAGUUCAAUGACGCUGAGGCACGAAAGCGUGGGGAUCAAACAGGAUUAGAUACCCUUGUAGUC
rnacentral:rRNA from 1 species